UACAGAGGUCUCAAGCGUUGUUCGGAUUCAUUGGGCGUAAAGGGUGCGUAGGCGGCUUGCUAAGUCUUGCGUGAAAUCUCGGGGCUCAACCCCGAGCGGUCGUGGGAAACUGGCAGGCUAGAGUGCGGGAGAGGAGAAUGGAAUUCCUGGUGUAGCGGUGAAAUGCGCAGAUAUCAGGAAGAACACCCGUGGCGAAGGCGGUUCUCUGGAACGCAACUGACGCUGAGACGCGAAAGCGUGGGGAGCAAACAGG
rnacentral:rRNA from 1 species